rnacentral:tRNA from 1 species
GGGGUAUAGCUCAGCUGGGAGAGCAUCUGCCUUACAAGCAGGAGGUCACAGGUUCGAGCCCUGUUGUCCCC